ensembl:snRNA U6 U6 spliceosomal RNA
AUGCUUAUCUCAGCAACACAUAUACCAAAUGUGGGAUAAUACAAAGGAGAUUAGUGUGGCCCCUGCACAAGGAUGACAGGCAAAUUCAUGAUGUGCUCUAUACUUUU